GCGCACCAGGCGAGAAACUUUACAAUGUGCGAAAGCACGAUAAGGGAACUCUGAGUGCCUCCUAAGGAGGCUGUUCAGGUGUCUAAAAGCACCUGAAGGAAGGGCUGGGUAAGACCGGUGCCAGCCGCCGCGGUAACACCGGCAGCCCAAGUGGUAGCCACGUUUAUUGGGUCUAAAGCGUCCGUAGCCGGCUGGGUAAGUUCCUUGGGAAAUUUGGCUGCUUAACAGUCAAGCUUUCAGGGAAUACUGCCCGGCUUGGGACCGGGAGAGGUCAGAGGUACUCCAGGGGUAGGGGUGAAAUCCAUUAAUCCUUGGGGGACCACCGGUAGCGAAGGCGUCUGACCAGACCGGGUCCGACGGUGAGGGACGAAGGCUAGGGGCGCGAACCGGAUUAGAUACCCCCGUAGU
rnacentral:rRNA from 1 species